AGAGUUUGAUCCUGGCUCAGGAUGAACGCUGGCGGCGUGCCUAACACAUGCAAGUCGAACGAAGCAAUUAAAGGAAGUUUUCGGAUGGAAUUUGAUUGACUGAGUGGCGGACGGGUGAGUAACGCGUGGAUAACCUGCCUCACACUGGGGGAUAACAGUUAGAAAUGACUGCUAAUACCGCAUAAGCGCACAGUGCCGCAUGGUACGGUGUGAAAAACUCCGGUGGUGUGAGAUGGAUCCGCGUCUGAUUAGCCAGUUGGCGGGGUAACGGCCCACCAAAGCGACGAUCAGUAGCCGACCUGAGAGGGUGACCGGCCACAUUGGGACUGAGACACGGCCCAAACUCCUACGGGAGGCAGCAGUGGGGAAUAUUGCACAAUGGGCGAAAGCCUGAUGCAGCGACGCCGCGUGAGUGAAGAAGUAUUUCGGUAUGUAAAGCUCUAUCAGCAGGGAAGAAAAUGACGGUACCUGACUAAGAAGCCCCGGCUAACUACGUGCCAGCAGCCGCGGUAAUACGUAGGGGGCAAGCGUUAUCCGGAUUUACUGGGUGUAAAGGGAGCGUAGACGGCGAAGCAAGUCUGAAGUGAAAACCCAGGGCUCAACCCUGGGACUGCUUUGGAAACUGUUUUGCUAGAGUGUCGGAGAGGUAAGUGGAAUUCCUAGUGUAGCGGUGAAAUGCGUAGAUAUUAGGAGGAACACCAGUGGCGAAGGCGGCUUACUGGACGAUAACUGACGUUGAGGCUCGAAAGCGUGGGGAGCAAACAGGAUUAGAUACCCCUGGUAGUCCACGCCGUAAACGAUGAAUGCUAGGGUGUUGGGGGGGCAAAGCCCUUCCGGUGCCGUCGCCAAACGCAGUAAAGCAUUCCACCCUGGGGGGAGUACCUUUCCGCAAAGAAUGAAACUCCAAAAGGAAUUUGACGGGGGACCCCCCCCAAACCGGUGGGAGGCAAUGUGGUGUUUUAUAUCCUAAAGCAACCGCCGAGAAAACCUUUCCCAAAGGCUUUGGAAUCCUCCUUUGACCGGGCGGUGGGAACAGGCCGCCUUCCCCUUCCUGGGGGAAGAGAGACAGGUGGUGCAUGGUUGUCGUCAGCUCGUGUCGUGAGAUGUUGGGUUAAGUCCCGCAACGAGCGCAACCCUUAUCCUUAGUAGCCAGCAGGUAGAGCUGGGCACUCUAGGGAGACUGCCAGGGAUAACCUGGAGGAAGGUGGGGAUGACGUCAAAUCAUCAUGCCCCUUAUGAUUUGGGCUACACACGUGCUACAAUGGCGUAAACAAAGGGAAGCAAGACAGUGAUGUGGAGCAAAUCCCAAAAAUAACGUCCCAGUUCGGACUGUAGUCUGCAACCCGACUACACGAAGCUGGAAUCGCUAGUAAUCGCGAAUCAGAAUGUCGCGGUGAAUACGUUCCCGGGUCUUGCACACACCGCCCGUC
rnacentral:rRNA from 1 species